rnacentral:piRNA from 1 species
UCAUUGGCUUGUCUUGGGUUAC